CUUUUUAAAAUUGCAUUGUUUUUAGUUUUUAAAUAGAAAAAGAAUAGUUUUCGCAAGUAAUUUGUGAAUUUUCACCAUAAAAAUAUGUUGAUGCAUUUGUGGAGCAGGCAUGGAUAUGAUUACAUUGAAUUAUUGUACAAGGGUGUGAAGGGUUUGAAAACAAGAAAAUGGUAAGUGUUUACUUAAGUCAGGCAAAUCAUCUUUUGGACACAUUGGAUGUAUGCACAUCAGCUGGACGCAUCCAAAUUGUGGUCCUCAUUUCCAGAAAGUUGUCACCUUGAUAAUAUGGCCAUUGGGAAUUUUGAGUGUGUUAUGGACUAUUGAUAGCCCAUUACCAUUUUUUCUUCUCUGCUUUUAGCAUUUCAUCCGCCAUGAAUGUAGCAUGCAUUAAUUGCAGAGUCCGGACUGUUUCCUCAUCCAAACUUUUAUGGCUUAAUUUAUCCACGGUGAUAAUUUUGUUUAUUGGCAAUUUAAUGAUGGCUUUUUAAUUUGGAUGGUCGGGAUUAUUUUUCACUUAAAAAUUGAACCACAAGAAAUGGGAACUUCUGCUUAGCCUCAGUCAUUUGGUUGUGUUAUUCGGAAUUGAUUGUGUUAUCAUUUGGUUCUUCCUUAGUAAUGAUAUGUCUGCCAGGAAGUUAUUGGGGAGGAGAGGCUCUGGAAACUACUAUUCUUUACUAAAUUUACCAAAGGCACAAGGGAUGAUUUACAUAAAUUGUGAAUUUGUCAUUGCUUGAAAUUUGAAUCUCCAGUGCUUUAGAUGAAAAAUGCUAUGAAAGUACUCUUUUGUUUUGCUAAUUCUUCUAUUCUGAGGUCGGCACCAUUUUCUGGUAGGUACUAGAAGAUGGCUGAUGCUGAGGAUAUUCAACCUCUUGUGUGCAAUAAUGGAACUGGAAUGGUUAAGGCAGGUUGCACCGGGCGACGUGGUCGAGAAGAUUGUUGAGAAGAGGCAGAAGAGGAUGAUUAAGAACAGGGAGUAUGCCGCUCGAUAAGGGGCCAGGAAGCAGGUGGGCCUGUAAAAUCAGGCGAUGUUUUGAGCCAUAGAGAUUGGGUCCUCUCGGUCCCUUCCAUCGGCCGCUGCAUUGAAUUGGGUGCCGAAGGAUGGGCUUGGACUGCUUAGCCGAUGCAUAUACACUGCUAGCCUUGGAUCUACAUUAGAUGCCAACUUGAAGAGGGUAAGGUUCUCAACAUCAAUCUUAUUUAGCUUGAGCGUUGGAGUUGAGUUGCUGACUCCAAUGUUUCCCCAGUAUUUUUUGCUUCUUGCAACUAUAGCCAACAUUUCGAAAUCAAUUAGUCUGGCUGCCUACCUAGCAACCGGUGUAAGGUUUCAACCUUUUGUAUACUUUUGAUUCACUAAUAUACAGGCCUGUUAUACUUACAUCAAGUUGAUGGUAACAACAUAAGGGCCUGUUUACAACACCCCUAAACUUUAGGCUGACCAACAUGUUCACUGGUUUGAAUGAGUAUGCCAUGGUAAUGGGUCUGACCCAUUGUUGUGGCAUUUCAUUUUAAUGAUUACAUGUUCGAGGAGAGUGUUUGUCUGCUCAUUAGAGCCACUUGGUUUGUGCCUCUACCAUUGGAGGCUCAGGAAGAAGUCUCCUACGAACAAGAAGUUAUCUAUCAGUAUGAGGAUGAGGAAGAUAACGAUCUGGAUGAUGAAGCUUACUUUGCCAGCUCCUAAAACCUUCGUAUUGGUAAUCGUUGAUAUAUUCCGCUAGCAUCUAGAAAUUGACUAUUGGAUUGAAGAACAUUUUCCCCCACUGAAGAUCUGUACCAUUUUUUACAGAUAUCACAAUGAUAUUGAUGUUCCCGUCUUAUUGCAAAGUUGCAAUGAAGAUGCUUUCAGACAACCGAACAAGCUGUAGUUGUUCAUCAGCCAAGCAAAAGUCAUACCCAAAUCUUGCGUUGUGACUUUGUAUUAUUUGUGGAACCUAAUGUUGUGUAACAGUUUGAUUGAGUUUGUUUUGAAAACUUUAAAUAGACGGUUGUUAAAUGUUUUGUUGGUA